rnacentral:rRNA from 1 species
CCUACGGGGGGCUGCAGUGGGGAAUAUUGGACAAUGGGGGCAACCCUGAUCCAGCCAUGCCGCGUGUGUGAAGAAGGCCCUCGGGUUGUAAAGCACUUUCAGUGAGGAAGAACGCCUGGUGGUUAAUACCCAUCAGGAAAGACAUCACUCACAGAAGAAGCACCGGCUAACUCCGUGCCAGCAGCCGCGGUAAUACGGAGGGUGCGAGCGUUAAUCGGAAUUACUGGGCGUAAAGCGCGCGUAUGUGGCUUGAUAAGCCGGUUGUGAAAGCCCCGGGCUCAACCUGGGAACGGCAUCCGGAACUGUCAAGCUAGAGUGCAGGAGAGGAAGGUAGAAUUCCCGGUGUAGCGGUGAAAUGCGUAGAGAUCGGGAGGAAUACCAGUGGCGAAGGCGGCCUUCUGGACUGACACUGACACUGAGGUGCGAAAGCGUGGGUAGCAAACAGGAUUAGAUACCCCAGUAGUC